rnacentral:pre_miRNA from 1 species
GAGACACCCUUAUGGAGCAGGACUUGCUUCAGUGGGGCUUUGGAGCUCACUGAGUCUGCCCCUUUGUGUGUUACU